UUGAAUUGAAGAGUUUGAUCAUGGCUCAGAUUGAACGCUGGCGGCAGGCUUAACACAUGCAAGUCGAACGGUAACAGGAGAAAGCUUGCUUUCUUGCUGACGAGUGGCGGACGGGUGAGUAAUGCUUGGGAAUCUGGCUUAUGGAGGGGGAUAACGACGGGAAACUGUCGCUAAUACCGCGUAUUAUCGGAAGAUGAAAGUGCGGGACUGAGAGGCCGCAUGCCAUAGGAUGAGCCCAAGUGGGAUUAGGUAGUUGGUGGGGUAAAGGCCUACCAAGCCUGCGAUCUCUAGCUGGUCUGAGAGGAUGACCAGCCACACUGGA
rnacentral:rRNA from 1 species